GCAUAUAGAGCACUAGUUACUAUUCCUAGCCACUUGGAGCACGGCGAUCAACUUUGAUUCCUUCAUUUAACGGGGCUUUCGCUUCUCUUUAUAUAUGUUCUGUGUACAGAACAGACGUGACAGUUAAGAAUAACGAAUAUUUUAUAUCUAUAAUCUUGUGCGCUUAUUUCUAAAACAAAGUGCGAAAAUUCAAUUCUGCAAAAUAGAUUCUAUUCUUGGAGAAUUUCAGAUUUGUAAUGAGCAACCUCAAAAAUCCCAGGAUAUCAAAUUUUAUGCAAAUUAAAAAAGGCUUUCAUAUUUUAACCAUCUUUUCGGGAUUUUGGCCCACUGUAUAUCGUUAAGAGUUAUAGAAUACGCCUACUGGUCAGAGACGAAAAUCCCGAAAUCGAGGAAUCAAUCAUUUGAAUUCAAACCACGUUCGGCAGCAAUCGACCAAGCUGCUUAUCAGCAAACUGUGAAUCUAUUCGACGAGAAACUUAGACGGUCCGAGCGUCUUGGAGAAUAAAACCCCCCAAAAAAAAGAAAUUUUUUGAAAGUUAAAAUUGAGUAAGUUAAUAAAUUUUUUUAACUAAUAAUUUAAGUUAAAGUUGA